CCUACGGGUGGCAGCAGUGAGGAAUAUUGGUCAAUGGACGAGAGUCUGAACCAGCCAAGUAGCGUGAAGGAUGACUGCCCUAUGGGUUGUAAACUUCUUUUAUAUGGGAAUAAAACAGGGGAUGCAUACCCUCUUGUAUGUACCAUGUGAAUAAGGAUCGGCUUACUCCGGUCCAGCAGCCGGAGUAAUUCGGAGGAUCCGAGCGUUAUCCGGGUUUUUUUGGUUUAAAGGGGUGGGAGGUGGGGUGUUAAGGCCGUUGGUAAAGUUUGGGGCUCAACCGUAAAAUUGCAGUUGAAACUGGGAGUCUUGAGUACAGUAGAGGUAGGCGGAAUUCGUGGUGUAGCGGUGAAAUGCUUAGAUAUCACGAAGAACUCCGAUUGCGAAGGCAGCCCUCCGGCCUGCAACUGACACUGAUGCUCGAAAGUGUGGGUAUCAAACAGGAUUAGAUACCCCAGUAGUC
rnacentral:rRNA from 1 species